CCUACGGGGCGCAGCAGUGGGGAAUAUUGCACAAUGGGCGAAAGCCUGAUGCAGCAACGCCGCGUGAAGGAAGACGGUUUUCGGAUUGUAAACUUCUAUCACUAGGGAAGAAAGAAAUGACGGUACCUAAAUAAGAAGCCCCGGCUAACUACGUGCCAGCAGCCGCGGUAAUACGUAGGGGGCAAGCGUUAUCCGGAAUUACUGGGUGUAAAGGGAGAGUAGGCGGCAAGGAAAGCGAUAUGUGAAAGCCUUACGCUUAACUAAAGGAUUGCCUACGCAACUAUCUAGCUAGA
rnacentral:rRNA from 1 species